UACGGAGGAUUCAAGCGUUAUCCGGAUUUAUUGGGUUUAAAGGGUGCGCAGGUUGUUUGAUAAGUCAGUGGUGAAAGUCUGUCGCUUAACGGUAGGAUUGCCAUUGAUACUGUUAGACUUGAAUAUGGAUGAGGUAGGCGGAAUGUGUAGUGUAGCGGUGAAAUGCAUAGAUAUGACGCAGAACUCCGAUUGCGAAGGCAGCUUACUGGGAUGCAACUGACGCUGAGGCACGAAAGCGUGGGUAUCAAACA
rnacentral:rRNA from 1 species